rnacentral:rRNA from 1 species
UAAAUCUUAAAAUCUAAAAAAAAGUAGAAAAAACAUUGGAUUGGUGUAUUUACACAAGAUUUAUUAAAUUGAAAAAGAAAAGUUAAUACUGAAGAAAAAAUGUUUAUUCUUUGUACCUUUUGUAUAAUGUUUUGUCAAGGAUGGGGCCAAAUUACCUUUACUCGAAAUUUAAAGAUCUAUAUAUGAAAAAAGGAGUUGUGGCAGAAUUCUUUUCAGUCAUCUAUAGCAGUGAUAUUCUUAUCGUUUUUGGUGAUAUCUAGUUAAUAGGGAAAAAAGCUAGCUUUACUUUAGAGAUGUUUAAAUUUUAUAUACAGUGGUUAAGCUUCUGUAUAAGAAUAAAAAAGGGAAAGAUAAUAAAAUAGAAGUAGGCUUUUAGGUAGCUAUAGUGUUGUAAUAAACUCAUCAAAUUAGAAAAUAAUACUUUAGAUAUUGCAUUACCUAUAAAAUAAAAAAACUCUUUCGUUUAUAUUUAUGAUAAAACUAGUAUUGGGAGUAAGAAUAAAGAGAUUAGAUUCAUGAAUUCGGCAAAGAGGGUUUCGACUGUUUAUCAAAAACAUUUUUUUUCGCUAUUAUGAAAAAUCGAGCCUGCACAAUGAGCUUAAAUUGCCGUGGUAUCUUGACCAUGCUAAGGUAGCGUAAUCAUUUGGCCUUUAAUUGAGGUCUGGUAUGAAGGGUUGAACGCGAGCCCAACUUUAUUAAUUUAAAAAAUAGAACUUAUUUUAUAGGUGAAGAAACCUAUGUAAAUUCAGAGGACAAGAAGACCCUAUCGAGCUUUAUUGGUUUGUGUAUUGCUUACGCAUCACAAUUUAGUUGGGGCAACUAGUGGAGUAACUCCUCGCUGAUCGAGAAAUUUUCAUAAGGGGAAGCUACCGUAGGGAUAACAGCAUAAUUUUUUUAUAGAGUUCUUAUUAAAAAAAAAGAUUGUGACCUCGAUGUUGGAUUAGGGUAUCCUUAAGGUGUAGAUUUUUUAAAAGGUUAGUCUGUUCGACUAUUAAAAUCCUACAUGAUCUGAGUUCAGACCGGCGUGAGCCAGGUUGGUUUCUAUCCUUUAUGCGAAAAAACAUUGGCCAGUACGAAAGGAAAGUUUAGGGUUUU